GCGAUGGCCUAGUUCCUUGCUGGACAUCAAAGAGGGUGAUAAUCCCGUUGACCGACCAAGUCCAUGUGAAGUUCCUUCAACGAGUCGAGUUGUUUGGGAAUGCAGCUCAAAAUGGGUGGUAAAUUUCAUCUAAAGCUAAAUAUCAGCCAGAGACCGAUAGCGCACAAGUAGAGUGAUCGAAAGAUGAAAAGCACUUUGAAAAGAGAGUCAAAAAGCACGUGAAACUGUUUGGAGGGAAGCGCUUGCAACCAGACUUGCUCGGUGCACUCAGGCCAACAUCAGUUUCGACGGCCGGAUAAAGAUCCAGAAAGUAGCUCCUCGGGAGUGUUAUAGCUUUGGGUGUAAUGCGGUCAGUCGGGACUGAGGACUGCGCUAGGAUGUUGGCGUAAUGGUGUCAGCGACCCGUCUUGAAACACGGACCAAGGAGUUACAAUUGCGCGAGCGUUAGGGUGUUAAACUCUACGCGGAAUGAAAGUGAACGUAGGUGGGACUCACCAUCGACCGAUCCAAGUUCGCGAGGAUUUGAGUAUGAGUGUAAUUGUAGACCCGAAAGAAGGUGAACUAUUGCUGACUAGGGCGAAGCCAGAGGAAACUCUGGUGGAGGCUCGCAGCGGUUCUGACGUGCAAAUCGAUCGUCAAAGCUGGCAAUAGGGGCGAAAGACUAAUCGAACCUUCUAGUAGCUGGUUCCUGUCGAAGUUUCCCUCAGGAUAGCAGCAACGACAGUCUCAUGAGGUAGAGCAACGAUUAGAGGCCUUGGGGUUGUAACAMCCUUAACCUAUUCUCGAACUCCGAAUAUGUGAGAAGUCC
rnacentral:rRNA from 1 species